UACGGGGGGGGUAAGCGUUGUUCGGAAUUACUGGGCGUAAAGGGCUCGUAGGCGGCCAACUAAGUCAUACGUGAAAUCCCUCGGCUUAACCGGGGAACUGCGUCUGAUACUGGAUGGCUUGAGUUCGGGAGAGGGAUGCGGAAUUCCAGGUGUAGCGGGUGAAAAUGCGCAGAUAUCAGGAGGAACACCAGUGGCGAAGGCGGCUCACUGGCCCGAUACUGACGUGAGGCACGAAAGCUGGGGAGCAAACAGG
rnacentral:rRNA from 1 species